GAUGAACGCUAGCGGCAGGCCUAACACAUGCAAGUCAGGGGGUAACAUAGAAAAGCUUGCUUUUCUGAUGACGACCGGCGCACGGGUGCGUAACGCGUAUACAACCUACCUUUUAGCGGGGAAUAGCCCAGGGAAACUUGGAUUAAUGCCCCAUAGUAUAUAGACUUCUCCUGAAGUUUAUAUUAAACAUUUAUGGCUAUUAGAUGGGUAUGCGUCCUAUUAGUUAGUUGGUAAGGUAACGGCUUACCAAGGCAGCGAUAGGUAGGGGUCCUGAGAGGGAGAUCCCCACACUGGUACUGAGACACGGACCAGACUCCGUACGGGAGGCAGCAGUGAGGAAUAUUGGACAAUGGGCGAGAGCCUGAUCCAGCCAUGCCGCGUGCAGGAAGACUCGCCCUAGUGGGUUGUAAACUGUCUUUUACAGAGGAAGAACCCACCCCACGUGUGGGGGUUUGACGGUACUCUGCGAAUAAGGAUCGGCUAACUCCGUG
rnacentral:rRNA from 1 species